UACGGGAGGGGGCUAGCGUUGUUCGGAAUUACUGGGCGUAAAGCGCACGUAGGCGGCUUUGUAAGUUAGAGGUGAAAGCCCAGGGCUCAACCCUGGAAUUGCCUUUAAGACUGCAUCGCUUGAACAUCGGAGAGGUAAGUGGAAUUCCGAGUGUAGAGGUGAAAUUCGUAGAUAUUCGGAAGAACACCAGUGGCGAAGGCGACUUACUGGACACAUAUUGACGCUGAGGUGCGAAAGCGUGGGGAGCAAACAGG
rnacentral:rRNA from 1 species